UACGGGGGGAGCAAGCGUUGUUCGGAUUUACUGGGCGUAAAGGGCGCGUAGGCGGUCGUGACAAGUCACUUGUGAAAUCUCCGGGCUUAACUCGGAACGGUCAAGUGAUACUGUCGGACUAGAGUACAGAAGGGGCAACUGGAAUUCUCGGUGUAGCGGUGAAUGCGUAGAUAUCGAGAGGAACACCUGCGGCGAAGGCGGGUUGCUGGGCUGAUACUGACAGCUGAGGCGCGAAAGCCAGGGGAGCGAACGGG
rnacentral:rRNA from 1 species